GAUGAACGCUGGCGGCGUGCCUAAUACAUGCAAGUCGAGCGAACGGACGAGAAGCUUGCUUCUCUGAUGUUAGCGGCGGACGGGUGAGUAACACGUGGAUAACCUACCUAUAAGACUGGGAUAACUUCGGGAAACCGUAGCUAAUACCGGAUAAUAUUUUGAACCCCAUGGUUCAAAAGUGAAAGACGGUCUUGCUGUCACUUAUAGAUGGAUCCGCGCUGCAUUAGCUAGUUGGUAAGGUAACGGCUUACCAAGGCAACGAUGCAUAGCCGACCUGAGAGGGUGAUCGGCCACACUGGAACUGAGACACGGUCCAGACUCCUACGGGAGGCAGCAGUAGGGAAUCUUCCGCAAAGGGCGAAAGCCUGACGGAGCAACGCCGCGUGAGUGAUGAAGGUCUUCGGAUCGUAAAACUCUGUUAUUAGGGAAGAACAUAUGUGUAAGUAACUGUGCACAUCUUGACGGUACCUAAUCAGAAAGCCACGGCUAACUACGUG
rnacentral:rRNA from 1 species